rnacentral:rRNA from 1 species
GACGAACGCUGGCGGCGUGCCUAAUACAUGCAAGUCGAGCGAACUUGCGGGAGCUUGCUCCCAAAAGUUAGCGGCGGACGGGUGAGUAACACGUGGGCAACCUGCCUAUAAGACUGGGAUAACUUCGGGAAACCGGAGCUAAUACCGGAUAAUUCAUAUCUACUCAUGUAGGUAUGCUGAAAGACGGUUUCGGCUGUCACUUAUAGAUGGGCCCGCGGCGCAUUAGCUAGUUGGUGAGGUAACGGCUCACCAAGGCGACGAUGCGUAGCCGACCUGAGAGGGUGAUCGGCCACACUGGGACUGAGACAAGGCCCAGACUCCUGCGGGAGGCAGCAGUAGGGAAUCUUCCGCAAUGGACGAAAGUCUGACGGAGCAACGCCGCGUGAGUGAUGAAGGCUUUCGGAUCGUAAAACUCUGUUGUUAGGGAAGAACAAGUACCAGAGUAACUGCUGGUACCUUGACGGUACCUAACCAGAAAGCCACGGCUAACUACGUGCCAGCCGCCGCGGUAAAAC